UUUCAAACAUUAAUUAAAAAAAUUCAACUGUAGAACUAAAAUGUGAAAGCGACGAAUUCAUGUGACAAAAAUUGAAAUACGACGGAUGAGGAAAAUGCUCAGAGAAUUGACUUACUUGAAAAACAAAGCAUAAACAUUUUUGAGCAACUAGUCCUUUACUUUCGUUGAUCCUUAUCUUUUGCAUACUACUUUGGGAAAACCUGUAAGAAUUGAUUCCGUAUGUGCUGGCAAUGGCUGCCACUAUCUCAAUUUAUUCACAUUAGCUUUACUAAGCUUGAUACAUUUGAUUAUGAUUUUGAACAACAAUCAAUUUGUCUCAGAUUCCUAAUUUGAUGAAUCUGGAAGUUGUUUUUAGUAUUUUUCAUUACUUUCCUUGCAAGCCUAUAUUCCGUGACAAGGCACAAAAUAAUCUUAGUGGUGAGAUACCAAGGCUUAUAUACUGGAAUGAAGUUUUGCAAUGUGUGAGAAACAAUAGCGUAACAGGAAGUAUUUCUGAAAACAUAGGCAACUCUACUUCCUCCAAGUCUUGAAUCUUUUGUCUAACAACCUUCAAGCCUCCAUUCCAAUUCAACCGUCAAGGAUCAGAAAUUUGGUUACAUUGUAACUGAGUAGCUGCUUAAAGUGGAGGAUGGCAUGAGGUUGUUUCUUCUUUUUCUUUUCGGGUUUAGUUUACGAGAUCUGUUAUGUAACACUAGGGGAAAUUUUUAUGAUUUAUCUUUUGUUGUAUUGAGUAGAGAGUUAAAGUAUACUCUCAUGGUUAAUAUUUUGAGGUUUUGAAGAGAUUACAUUUAUGAUUUCAUUUAUGUUAUAGUCUUUGAAAUUAAAUGAUUUAUUGAUUGCAUACUUUA